rnacentral:lncRNA from 1 species
CCCCGGGCUUCAAAUCAAGUUUAAUAAAUAAAACAGCAAAGGGGGGUUCAAGGCAGUUAUCACUUCACAGUGUGGUCCUUGGUGGGGUGAGGGAUGGUCGAGUCCAACUCGGAAAGGGGCUCGAGCACAAGAGGCCGGACGACACCCGGGGCAGGGCGCGCCGCCGCCCACGGAGGACCCCACUCCAACGUGUAAACAGAAACAGAAACGAACGAGAGGGCCAGGGAGGAGGGGGACCAGGACUCCAAGCCAUCUUGCUAGGAAGCUUCCCACAGAAGGAAGACCUGCAGGGCUGGGGAAACAGGCUGGAGUCUGGCCCCUGCGUGGCCAGCAGGGCCGGCUCCUCCGGAGGCUCCCUGCCUUGGUACCGGGGGAGGACAGCAAAGGGGAUGUAAAUCACCUGUCUCCUCAAACCCACGCCUGGGGUUGCUGAGGGACCCCACCCCAACCGCUCAGGAUCGGGGAGCAGGGAUGGAGGGGGAAGAGGCAGAAGGAGGUGCUACCCCAAGGCC